ACCCUCCAUAGAACUGACUGACUUCACUCCACUAAAGGCAGAAGCAGAGGGCUGGAUUUAUUAGGGGGAAGCCGUUGGAUGUCCCACAAGUGUGGCAUUGCAAAUAAAAGCCACGUGGGUGACUCCAUGUGCAAUGACUCACAGGAGAGGAGCUCUGGAGCCCAAGUACCUGGCUUGUGGAAUCCAUUUGUUCGCUGCUGUCUCCUGAAUCAUCUGCUGUGAGUGUCUUGCUGUUGGGCUGAUUUACUGAAGGAGGCAAAGGAUUCAAGGACUGACGUAUGGGCAAAGAGUCCCCAUGCUUUGCAGACAGGGAUCCUAAAGAAAGGGAGAAUUAAAGUCACUAAUGACCCAGAAAUAGCUAGGACGAGUAGAACGGCUCCUACCAACUUGCUCCUUGGAUGCCGUCUUCAGAACGUGGGCUGGCACCGCAGCACCCGUGCAGGGUAGGAUCAAAGCCUUGAGCACAGAUCUCUGCAAACACAGAGGGAAAAGGGGCACGGCAGAGUCACUGAGAAAAAGGAAUUUCGAAUCCUGUGGAAGCAACGUGUAAUUUGUUAAUGAAUGGAGCUCUUCAAAGCCAGAGGUCUUCAUUGGUGCCUAUUCAAACCUGAUAAGCUAGAUCCUCAGCUUGUAUAAAUCAGCACAUCUCUGCAAUGGGACUGUCCUGAUUUCCACCCGCUGAGGAUCCAGCCCUGCAAACAUUCACUUUUGAAAAAAGCUUUUUGUUUAAGACUCAGUUUGUUCAAAAAGUUCUGACCAGCCCUGGUCUGUUUAAUUACCCUUCACUACUACAUGAUGGCUUGUAGGAGACAGUCUCUCUCAUUUCUUUAAUGGAAAAUACAGUGCAAAAAACUAUGAAUUUUUCUGGGUAAAUAUUGGGGUCUAAUUUGGUGGACAGAAGGAUGGGGGGGAAAAUAUUAAUGCUUUGAACAGAAUUCAAUUUGGUUUGCUGCAGAACUAAAACAGAACUCAAAACACAAUGCCACUUGGGAGUUCAAGAAAACAAUCUCUCUCUAAUCCCCAAAUAAAACUUUUCAUUUGAGUAAACAGUUUACUGUUGUAAACUUAGAACUAUUCGCCUAUAAAUAUUUACAUGUAAUAAUUGGACCACACCAUUUGCAGCGCAUACAGCCAACUUCAUCCUUUUCUCCUGUUUUUUAUUUAUUUUUUUAAACUUUCUAAUACUUGGGUUCUGAAAGGUAUUCUGAGACAGAUUUUCAUUUCCUUCCCAUUUUAAUGUGUCAAAUCUUUAAACCGUUAUGUUGAAAUGUGUGCGUGGAGGGCGUGAGAUUCAUCAGUACGUUCAGCUGCGGCCACACUUCAGCGCUUGCCUGCCUGCCUGUUUGUUUAUUGUGUGUAUCUUCUAGACCAGUGGUUCUCAACCUUUUCGUU